AGCAGGCUUGGUGCUGUCAGUGUGGAGCCCCAUGCAGGGCUCAAUCCCACAAACCGUGACAUUAUGACCUGAGCCAAAAUCAAGAGUCGGACUCUGAACCAACUGAGCCACCCAGGCACCCCUGCCAUGGUUGGAAUUCUUGACCUGAAUGACCUAUGUUUUCUAUUCCUAGUUUGAGUUAAUUAUUCUCUGAAUGAUACAAUAUAUUAGUGUUUGUUUUCUACUUUCCUUUUGUUGUUAUGUGUACCUUCUUCAGUGAAUUGUAUUUGUGCCAAUUCCUUAUGUUAUGAGUAUCACAUAAGUGUUAAAUUUUAUAAGUAACUUUUUUCAAAUUAAGAAUUUUUAAAAGCCACAAUAUUAUCAGAUGAACUUCUAAAUAUAAAAAAUUGUCAGCUUUUAACUGGAUUCGCUAGGAAUGUGAACUACUUCUUCACUUACAUUGGAUAUUAACAGGGGUGUAGUGGGGUGGGGGGAACUCAUACUUCUAUGCCACAAACAAAAUAUAACAAAUUUUUCAUUCACAUGAAGGGUACAGUUUCUUCCAUAGUAUUCACUUUAUAUACAGGAAGAUUUUAACAUUUCUAAAAUCUACCCUUUAAGCAAGAACUUUCUAGUAGAGGAUUAACUACUGUUUUUUUUUCUUAAUUGGAGUAAUACGUGAACAUGGUAACAAUAACAAGUACUUUUGAUGAAAAGCAGCAAUUCUCAUUCCUUGCCUGCCAUUGUUAGGCCUAUCCCCAGAGACAAACAUUUUUAACUAUUUGGGUGUUUGGUUCUUUAGGUAACUUUAAAUUACAUGCUUUGCCUACACUCCUUGAUUGAUUAAACAUCAUCUGUCUACUCCCUUUUAUAAAAGAUGAAGACUUUUACUCCCACAUCUCUCUCAAUCUUUCUACUAAUAUUUGAUAGUUAAUUAUGAGUUUUAGGUGUUCUCUUCAUUCUUAUAUUAAUGUGCUUUUGCUACACAACAAUCAUAGUUUUUUUCCUGUACAGGAGGGUGUAUUAUGGUAGAUUAGAUAGCUCUUCAGCAGUUCCUCACUUCUCCUUCAUCCACCACCAUGGGAAGAGUAUAAUUCCUCUUCCAAUUAAUGGGAGGCUUGGUCUUGCAACUUGUUUUGGCCAAGAGAAUGCAGGAAGUGACAGUGCACCAGUUUUGAGUGUAGACCUUACAAGGCAUUAAAUGUUUCUCUUUGCCACUUAGGGAGUUUCUAACCUUUGUAUAAUAAAACAUGUCCCAGUCAUCUGUUGGGCACCAUUGAACCCAGAUGGAGAAACAUGAAGAUGUCAACUUCACCUGCAGCAUGAAACCAGAGCUGCCUCAAUUCACCUGAAGAACUUAUUUCUAAAAGUUACCAGGAAAAUGUCUCGUUAACACCAGUCUGACAAUUCUAAGACAAGAUUGAACUGAAAUAUUGCUUUGGUUUCAUCUGAAAUUUUGAGUACCUAAAUGAACAUGUUUGCAAAAUUAUUAAAUAUGAAAAUGGA